UGGAUGGCAAUUUGAAAUAUAUCAGAAUUACUUUAUUUAAUGCUUUAAUGCUUCACGCAAAGUGAAAUUUUGUCACCGAUUUCAAACGCAAGAUAUCGGCACAAAUUGCAAGAAAAACUGUCUUUUAUGCGCUAAAGAUUGUCGCAAAUGUAUUUCAAUAACUUGAGAUAUUCGCAAAAAUAUAUUGCUUAGCGGUGUGUUUAUAUUAUGUCCAGUCCGUGUGUAAACCCCUGAAAACCGCAUUGAUUCUGCACUCUGAUUACAUAAAAACUGUGUGGGUCUUCAUGCUACAUAUUCUGAUGUCAUAAACAAUUUAUUUAUUUAUAAUUGGAGUUCAAAAUAUUACUAGUAAUUAGCUUGUUAUUUAGAGGACAGUGCACAAUACAUAAACAUACUAAUGGAGGACUUGCUCCUGACAUGCGGUAUCCACAACGAGAAACUGGACAUGUUUUGUCUGGAGCACAGUCAGGUGUGCUGCGCUAAAUGUGUUCUACUAGAUCACAGACAGUGCAUUAAUAUGGCCACUCUAAUUUCUGAGUCAGUCAAAAAGCUGUCGUUAGAUAUGAAAUAGAUGUCCUACAAUCUUCGGCAACUUGAAAUCUUUGAAAGCUCACAAGAAGCAAGCAUUCAGUUUGUUGAUAUAUCAUAUAGUGAAAAACUGCAAGAAAUCCGAGAAAUGCGUAAGAACUUAAACGCUUUUUUGGAUAAGCUAGAACAAUCAACCUUGAAAGAGCUGAAUGAUAAAAGGACUACAUUGCAAACUUCUCUCAAAAAAGACAUUGAAAACUGCCGCAUACUGAAGGAUGAACUGCGACAUCUUGGUGAAGCUGUGCAUAGCCUGGGGGUAAAGAGUAAGAAAGAUAUUGAGUUCAUAGCUAGCUGGAAAUUUAUGGAAAAAAAUAACGAAUCUGAGACAUAUCUGUAGGAGAACCAUGUUAAGGGUCUGUGUUCAAUGAAAUUCCAGGCAGACAUUGACAUUUAGCAGAACCUGUCUAAAAAGUCAGAUCUAGGGAAGAUUCUAUUAAUGAAUCCAAACCAGGUGUUGACAGUGAAGACAAAAUCCAAGUAUAAUGUGAACAUAUCGAGUGACACAAAUAAAACUUGCUCUAUCAAAGGAACUUGCAGCCUGCCGAAUGGCCAUGUUAUUGUUGUUGAUAAUGACAAUAAAACAAUUAAGCUGUUUGACAAGCAGUACAAGUUAGUCAGCCAAUGUAAUAUGUCUGGUAGACUAUGUGACAUUUGCCAGAUUUCAUCCAGUGAAGUGGCUGUGACUGUUGACAGAUAUGUGCAGUUCAUCUCUGUGAGAAAUAGGCAGCUGAUUACUAGGAGGAAGUUUCAAUUAGCGCACGAUGCUGUCGGUAUUGCCCACCAUCAUUGAGCGUUUAUUUAUGUGUGCAGUGAGUCCUAUUGGGGACAGGAUCUAUGUCACCCAGUGCAGCCAGCACAAGCUCCUCACACUAGCUAUGGAUGGCACCCUCAUAUCCACCUUCACUGACACCCAACUACAACUACCAUAUGGUGUCCAUGUUACAACUGCAGGACAGGUGCUUGUUUGCGGAAGCCCAUCCAAAACAGUAAUACAAGUGGAUCGUAAAGGCAGAAAGAAGCUCUGGCAACUCUGCUUUCACAGAAAAAUGGAGAGGUCGACCCAAUGACUGUCUGCGUCAACAAAAAUAUUGAGUUUUCUUUUAAUUACACAAUAAUCAAUAGCAGUUUGUACAACAGAUUCUAAGAAUCAUGUCUUAAAACAUGUACACUUGAUUGGUUUGUUAAUAACUAGUAAACAUUGAUUUUGCAAAGACGUUGAUUUCACCAUGUGUUCAAUUGAGAAGCUUCUAUGCACACUGAUGAUGAGAUUGAAUUUCGGGCCGAUUGGGGCAAGGUCACAGUUAAAAAAAAUGUUUUAAUGUUGUUUCCAUUUAAACAACUAAGUUUGAAUGCAGGUAGUGUGUUGUAAUGCUGUUAUUCUAUGUAUACGCAGUUUAUAUGCAUACCUUGCCUUACAAAAAUAAUCAAAUUCAACUGAUUUGUUGGUAAACUGAUACAUAUUUAGUUUCAUUGAAUUGUCGCAUUGAUUGUUUAAAAAUAUAAAUAUUCUACUUCAAGUUUACAUAUACUAUAUAUCUAUACAGUUCUUAAACUUGAUAUAUGUCUGAAAGGUGAUUUUAUCAGGUGACUUUUAUACUAUCUAAGCGGAAGCAUAAUUGAGCGCGGUGUUUUGAGAAAGCUCUUGUUAGUCCAAUUUAAAUAACACUUUUUUUAAGCCAGACUAUUUAAAGUAAGACUGUGAGAAAAGCCGGUUUAAAAUGAACCAGAGAAGGACUUCCAGAAACAGGGCAACAAGGUUUCUGAACAUUUUCCCUGUUUGACUUUAAUAAAAGCUUGUGAGAUAUGUAUACAUAUUUUGUCCA